CGAUUUGCAGUAACUAUCAUAUCCUCCUUAGACAAUCUUUUAAGGCAAGAGCUCUUCAGUGUUUGACUUUUAAUUUUCUACUUGAGACCAUUGUGCAGUGAGUAAAUAAAGCUUUAUACUAUGUGGGUGAGAUGACAUGAAGCUUAGUUCACAGAAGGGUUAAUGAAGGAUUUGUGAGGUCAGAACUCUUGGCCCAUGUCAAACCUGGUGGCCUCAAUGAACCUCAAUGGUUCAGAAGGGUAAUGUGGGCUUGGAACGUAGCUGGGUGGGUUUGAGCUGCAUCAGGGACAUUCUCAGGUCCAGAAAUACUGCAUGUAGCCAGUUCCCGGUUGCUUUGUGGGUUGAGAAAAGUUCCUGAUGGGGCCAACGUGCAUUGGUAUGUUGUCUGAUGUGAAAAGAAGACAACAAGGAAAAUCUAUGGGAGAAACACUGGAAGCUUCUGGAGAAAAGGAUGAUUGUUUAUGACCAAGAAGAAGUAAAGAAAAGCACAUUUUCUGUAGGACAACUUGGAGACGUGACGUUGAAUUAGCAAUAUUCUUCCUAUUUAACUGCUGAUACGGGGCCACAGAUCCAUCACCAAAAUGCUCGAAUAUUUGCAAGCAUACAAAACUAUGACCUCUGCAGAAAAGUAUGCCAGAAUGUGUUUUAGGAUCCAUAUCAAUACAGCCCUGAAGAUUCACAGAAAUGGUGUUCUAGUUCUUGGAUAUUCUUCAGUGGGCUACAUCACCACCCGCCAAUGUCUCAGCAGAAAACUUCUUGAGAAUCUAAAACCCAUGGGCUUUGGUGAUUCAGAAGAUAAUGAGAACAAGGAAUCGUAGACACAGAUUAAUAGAUAGACUGAGAAGACAAGUGGGGAUCAAUGAAGCCAGCAGAGAUCAACAACGCCAGGCAAUCUUUACCAUCCCUCAAUAGGAGAGAGUGAAUGAAGAGCCAGCCUAGAGGAAUCAACUCAGGUUAAAAUCUGCAACCCUGAAGAGGAAGCAUAUUAAACUCCCAAGUAACUUAAGCUCA